AAUUUUGAAACCCUGCAUUUCCAUUAUUUAUGUAUUAAUAAAGCAUGUUGAACUGUACGCUACAUGAUAUUAUUUUGUACGUGUCGUCAUUAAAAUUGAUAUAAAUGAAACUCAUAUUUUGAAAUAUUGUCAAAUAAUUUUAAAAGUUUUUCAAUGUUUUGUUCAACUAAUAUUCAAACUAAAGAGAGGCUUCGUCCGAAACAGAACACAUGCUUAAAAACUUGUAACAUUCAUUUCACAGUUCGUUUUAUACUACCAAUUGAACUUUCACAAACUUAAAAUCCCGGAAGUGCACAUCUCCUAGUAUGUUUGCUACGUCAACAGACCCGGGACUGAUUGUCGUUUGAAAAAUUUAAUGGGUAUUUGGCAACUUGCAUUAUUAAUUCAUCUGACCUUCGAUAUACGCUUUCAAUUAAAAAAUAAUCUAAUAAUCUAGGCUGUUUAUACUGUAUGAAUUUAGUUAUGUUUCCCAAUGUGUUACCCUGUGUGUGUCUGUGUCUGUGUGUCUGCGUUUGACCAUAAGUCCUCGGCCAAGUUCGAUAACUAGCCAAAUCGGCUCAGGCACUUUGGAAUUGUGGUCCUUGAAUUACCGAAAAUCGGCCUAUAGAUGAAUGUAGCCCAGACCCUUGUCAAAACGGGGCAACGUGUAAUGAUCAAGUCAAUUCCUACAGCUGCACGUGCAGUCCUGGAUACACUGGAUUUUACUGUGAGACAGACAUCUAUUACUUUAGCACCAGCCAAGCGACAUGGGACGACGCUAAGGCAGCAUGCGAGAUGAUGUCAAUGAAACUUGUGAUAAUAGACGAUCAAGAGGAAACUGACUUACUCCAAAGUCGUUUAACAGGUUUUCAGCACUGGAUUGGUUUGAGAUGUCAAAGUGGUACCAACUGUGCAUGGGUUGAUGGUAGAAACCUAGAAAGCGGAUUUAUUAAUUGGGCCCCCGGGGAACCGAAAGACAGGGAUUGUGUCUGGAUUGGCUAUUAUGGAAACAAAUGGGACGAUAACUAUUGUCACCUGGCCUAUAAAUAUAUUUGUGAAUUGUGAAUAUAUUACUUUAUAAAACACUACCUGUACAUAUGUAACAUUCUAAAUGGAGAAACACUGAUAUUCACGGAAAAUCCCAACAACUUCGUUACAAGAGGUGAUAAAUUAGGUCAAUUAUAUAUAUAUGUACGAAUUCAAAUUCCUCAACACUUUGAUGGCCAUUAAAGUAAUAGUACUUGUGCCGGAUGUAUAUAAUACUAUAUUAUGAACAAGAUAGACUGAAUGUAAAAUAAAAAUUUAACAAACUAGUUAUUUCGAUUCUUUUUACUUUUGUUUAAUUUUACCAUACAGUGAGUAUGCAUGCAUAUUUGUGUAACAUGUUUAACAAAUUCAUCAA